rnacentral:lncRNA from 1 species
UAGAAGGGUUCAGUCUCCUAUACCUCUCUAUGUAGCCCGGGUCAAUUAAGGAAUAAGCGUGGUCCCGUGGAGGAGGGACUGGACCCGGCUGAGGAUAGACUGUGGGGCCCUGUCGUGGCACCUGCUGAAAUGGUGGGGGCACCGGAUUGUACUAUGGCAGUGCCGGGCAGUACGGUGGCUGGCGCACCGGUUCAUACUGUGGCGGUAUUGCCGGUUGGUACUAUGGUGGAGCAGGCUCGUGCCGGGGUGGCUCGAGAUCCGCUUGCUGUAGCGGUGGCUCAACCCGUGGUAGUGGGGGAGGUUCGGGUAACUCCCUUCUCUCCUCUCGACCUUGCUAGGCGGCCAUGAUCCUUUUCAGCAUCUCAAAUAUUCUGUCCACAUCUUCCCGAAGGGAAUCAUCCCGGGCUGCUCGGUUUAGUGGGGGUCUUCCUCUCCUCAUCUCUCUGCACCUGC